AGUGGGGAAUAUUGCACAAUGGGGGAAACCCUGAUGCAGCGACGCCGCGUGCGGGAAGAAGGCCUUCGGGUUGUAAACCGCUUUCAAUUGGGAAGAAGAGAUGAGUACUAAUANUGCUCUGAUUUGACGGUACCUUUAGAAGAAGCACCGGCUAAUUUCGUGCCAGCAGCCGCGGUAAUACGAAAGGUGCAAGCGUUGUUCGGAUUUACUGGGCGUAAAGAGAUCGUAGGUGGUUUAUUAAGUCGGAUGUGAAAUCCCGGGGCUCAACCCCGGAACUGCAUUCGAUACUGAUAGGCUAGAGUUUGGGAGGGGUAAGCGGAAUUCCGUGUGUAGCAGUGAAAUGCGUAGAUAUACGGAGGAACACCUGAGGCGAAGGCGGCUUACUGGACCAAUACUGACACUGAGGAUCGAAAGCGUGGGUAGCAAACAGGAUUAGAUACCCUGGUAGUCCACGCCCUAAACGAUGUCAACUAGCCGUAGCGGGUAUCGACCCCUGCUGUGGCGAAGCUAACGCGAUAAG
rnacentral:rRNA from 1 species